UAAGGUCGCGGCGAGAUGAUCCGUUGAUAGUGACUAUGAUAGGUACUAAGUGUAAAUGCAGCGAUGUAUGUUAGCUUAGGUAUCCUAAAAGACCGAUUUAUUUGAAC
rnacentral:rRNA from 1 species